CAGCCUAGAUUGUAGUAGGUUAAAAUAAGCGUUAAGUAAAAUUCUUCUCAUAACUAGCAAAAUAUUUUUGACGAAAUUUCAGCUGCGCAUUUCUUUGGAUAGAUGAUGACUGCACACAAACACGUAAUACCAAGGACAGGAAGCAGAAGGAGGAACUGGAAACCAGAGAGAGGACUGUGGUUCAUGGGGUCGCAAAGAGUUGGACACGACUGAGCGACUGAACUGAACAGAAAUAUUUAGUCAGAUUUUCACUUUAUCUUGAUUCUG